rnacentral:rRNA from 1 species
GCCCGGGUCUACGAUGUCGAUUUGGAGGUUGUGCCCUUGAGGCGUGGCUUCCGAAGCUAACGCGUUAAAUCGACCGCCUGGGGAGUACGGCCGCAAGGUUAAAACUCAAAUGAAUUGACGGGGGCCCGCACAAGCGGUGGAGCAUGUGGUUUAAUUCGAUGCAACGCGAAGAACCUUACCUACUCUUGACAUCCAGCGAAUCCUGUAGAGAUACGGGAGUGCCUUCGGGAACGCUGAGACAGGUGCUGCAUGGCUGUCGUCAGCUCGUGUUGUGAAAUGUUGGGUUAAGUCCCGCAACGAGCGCAACCCUUAUCCUUUGUUGCCAGCGGUUCGGCCGGGAACUCAAAGGAGACUGCCAGUGAUAAACUGGAGGAAGGUGGGGAUGACGUCAAGUCAUCAUGGCCCUUACGAGUAGGGCUACACACGUGCUACAAUGGCGUAUACAAAGAGAAGCGAACUCGCGAGAGCAAGCGGACCUCAUAAAGUACGUCGUAGUCCGGAUUGGAGUCUGCAACUCGACUCCAUGAAGUCGGAAUCGCUAGUAAUCGUGGAUCAGAAUGCCACGGUGAAUACGUUCCCGGGCCUUGUACACACCGCCCGUCACACCAUGGGAGUGGGUUGCAAAAGAAGUAGGUAGCUU